GUCCCAAUCUUGAAAAAUAGCUUAGUUGGUCAGAGCAGGGUGCUGAUAUAACCCCAAGGUUGCAGGUUCAAUCCCCAUAUGGGACA